GACAGAGGUGCCGAGCGUUAGGCGGAAUCACUGGGCUUAAAGCGUGUGUAGGCGGCGGCGUAAGUCCCUUGUGAAAUCCCACGGCUCAACCGUGGAACUGCUCGGUAUACUGCGUCACUUGAGCCAGCUAGGGGCGACCGGAACAAACGGUGGAGCGGUGAAAUGCGUAGAUAUCGUUUGGAACGCCGAUGGUGAAAACAGGUCGCUGGGGCUGUGCUGACGCUGGGACACGAAAGCCAGGGGAGCGAACGGG
rnacentral:rRNA from 1 species